rnacentral:sRNA from 1 species
AACUCAGUCCGUCCUUAAAAUGGCUGAGUGAUCUCAAAGAACUUGUAUCCCUACUUAUUUACACAUGUAUAUGAACUGUUGCUCUUUAUUUCAUGCUACAUGCAUGGUUAUAAAACAAAGUGUAAACAAGAUAAAAAUUAGUAGGUUGUACCAGUAUUUAUCCAGGACAAUGGAUUUCUACUGUAUUUUUUGUGUCCCAAAUUAUUAUUAUUUUUCUUUUACAUACACAAAGGUGGUAUAAACCCAUGCAUGUGGCUUAGUUAAAUGUGUGACCAAUGAGUUCUAUGUAAUCAUGAGUCCUCUACAAAUGUAUAUUUAUUUAUUGGUUUUUUUCUUUUUUGCAUGUUAUAAUUUGUUUUAGAUUGUACUUAAAUGUAUGCUAUUGCAGAGAUUAUUAAAAUUAAAUCCAG